UUCUCUCCAGUUGCUCUUCUUUCUUUCUUACAACCUAUCUUAGUUUUAGGAUAAGGCUUUGGGAUUUAAGACAAAGUCUUAUUUAGUCCUAACAAGAGUUGUAAGGGUUCUAAAGAAGAAGAAUCAGAAGUCUAAAAGAGAUUUUGAGAGGGUGGAGUCAGAUUCUUAGAGAAAUCUGAUCAGUAUGAGGCUAGUCGAGUUCUAGGAGCUAGAACUCUUGAAGCA
rnacentral:lncRNA from 1 species